AGUGAACGCUGGCGGUAGGCCUAACACAUGCAAGUCGAACGGCCGCACAAGAGAGCUUGCUCUCUGGGUGGCGAGUGGCGGACGGGUGAGGAAUACAUCGGAAUCUACUCUGUCGUGGGGGAUAACGUAGGGAAACUUACGCUAAUACCGCAUACGACCUACGGGUGAAAGCAGGGGACCUUCGGGCCUUGCGCGAUUGAAUGAGCCGAUGUCGGAUUAGCUAGUUGGCGGGGUAAAGGCCCACCAAGGCGACGAUCCGUAGCUGGUCUGAGAGGAUGAUCAGCCACACUGGAACUGAGAAACGGUCCAGACUCCGACGGGAGGCAGCAGUGGGGAAUAAUGGACAAUGGGGGCAAGCCUGAUCCAGCCAUACCGCGUGGGUGAAGAAGGCCUUCGGGUUGUAAAGCCCUUUUGUUGGGAAAGAAAUCCAGCUGGCUAAUACCCGGUUGGGAUGACGGUACCCAAAGAAUAAGCACCGGCUAACUUCGUGCCAGCCGCCGCAGUAA
rnacentral:rRNA from 1 species